rnacentral:rRNA from 1 species
GCUUGUCUCAAAGAUUAAGCCAUGCAUGUCUAAGUUUAAAUAGAAAACAGUGAAACUGCGAAUGGCUCAUUAAAUAAUUUUGCAUAUACAAGAUAGUCAACUCUACUUGGAUAACCGUAGUAAUUCUAGAGCUAAUACAUGCUAUCAAGCCCGACUUCUUGAAGGGUUGUAUUUAUUAGACUUAAGCCAAUAUUCCUUGUGUCUAUUGCGAUGAUUCAUAAUAACUGAUCGAAUCUCAAAUUUGAGAUAAAUCAUUCAAGUUUCUGCCCUAUCAGCUUUCGAUGGUAGUGUAUUGGACUACCAUGGCAGUAACGGGUAACGAAGAAUUAGGGUUCGAUUUCGGAGAGGGAGCAUGAGAAACGGCUACCACAUCUAAGGAAGGCAGCAGG